rnacentral:tRNA from 1 species
AAGCGUAGCUCAGCAGGUUAGAGCGCUGCGUUCACAUCGCAGAGGUCGUGGGUUCGAGUCCCUCCGCUUCC